rnacentral:ncRNA from 1 species
GAUUCCCUCAGGGCAGUGUCACAGUUUUAUCUGGUAAAGUGAAUGACUAUAAGUCUCAGACUUCAAGUGGGUAAGAAGCCCAGCCACUGAUGUGGAAUGCCAGCCACAUAGUGGGCAACUUUUGGUAAGGAGAGCUGUCGCUGUGAGAUGAACCGAAGGCUGGGUUGAGGCGCCUGAUGCCAACGCUCAUUAGACUCUAAAAAAGGUGCUGGUUGAUAUAGACAGGCCAUGACGGUGGCCAGGUACAUCGAAAAAGGCUAAGGAGUGUGGAACACCUCGCCAGCCGUAUCAUCUAGGCCUAGAAAUGGUUGGCCCAUGCCCUACUUGUCACGGAAUAGCCCGCAACUUAAGAUUUUAGGGUAAUUUAAAGUGCUGUGUA